rnacentral:rRNA from 1 species
GCAUAUCAAUAAGCGGAGGAAAAGAAACCAACAGGGAUUGCCCUAGUAACGGCGAGUGAAGCGGCAACAGCUCAAAUUUGAAAUCUGGCUCUUUCAGGGUCCGAGUUGUAAUUUGCAGAGGGCGCUUUGGUGUUGGCAGCGGUCCAAGUUCUUUGGAACAGGACGUCACAGAGGGUGAGAAUCCCGUACGUGGUCGCUAGCCCUCACCGUGUAAAGCCCCUUCGACGAGUCGAGUUGUUUGGGAAUGCAGCUCUAAAUGGGAGGUAAAUUUCUUCUAAAGCUAAAUACUGGCCAGAGACCGAUAGCGCACAAGUAGAGUGAUCGAAAGAUGAAAAGCACUUUGGAAAGAGAGUCAAAUAGCACGUGAAAUUGUUGAAAGGGAAGCGCUUGCAGCCAGACUUGCCUGUAGUUGCUUAUCUAGACUUUUGUCUAGUGCACUCUUCUAUAGGCAGGCCAGCAUCAGUUUGGGCGGUUGGAUAAAGGUCUCUGUCAUGUACCUCCUUUCGGGGAGGCCUUAUAGGGGAGACGACAUGCAACCAGCCUGGACUGAGGUCCGCGCAUCUGCUAGGAUGCUGGCGUAAUGGCUGUAAGCGGCCCGUCUUGAAACACGGACCAAGGAGUCUAACAUCUAUGCGAGUGUUUGGGUGUCAAGCCCAUACGCGUAAUGAAAGUGAACGGAGGUGGGAACCUUAGGGUGCACCAUCGACCGAUCCUGAUGUCUUCGGAUGGAUUUGAGUAAGAGCAUGGCUGUUGGGACCCGAAAGAUGGUGAACUAUGCUUGAAUAGGGUGAAGCCAGAGGAAACUCUGGUGGAGGCUCGCAGCGGUUCUGACGUGCAAAUCGAUCGUCAAAUUUGGGCAUAGGGGCGAAAGACUAAUCGAACUAUCUAGUAGCUGGUUCCUGCCGA